AGGGAUGCCGUGGUGGGGCUGGACAGGGCCAGAUGCUCUCCCCCUGCUUAACCGAAAGGGCAUCACCGCUUUGCUGGGUGCCCCGUUGCUCAGUCCACAGGGGGACCUUGCCUCUCCAAGCAGACCGGGCUAAUCAUUACUUGACUUUUAUUUGAACAUCUGUGCCCUGCCUUUCUCCACAGGCCCCAAAGUGGCCAACCAAAACUAAAAUCCCAUAGAAAGCAAAAAGGUCAUUUCCCAAAGCGCCAUGAAAUGGGGCACACCCCACAUGCUGUGGGGGCAGAGCAGGCACUGGAAAACUACCACUAGAAGACAAACAACCCUGUUCAAAGCAGCCAUUGAGCAGCAACUGUUACCCAGCAACCAUCAAUGAUAGAACCCUGGCCCUGUUUGAGCAGGAAUAACUGUCCUUCUGGCCUUCCUCUUCCCUGGGGGUUACCAACCUCUCCUCCUGUGCCUUUCAGAGCAACCCAAGAAAAGUGUCAGGAGAUAAGGAUCAGAUGAGGAUCUGGGGCCCAAUUCUCAUUCAGCCUGAAGCUUGCUGGGGGGAAUUGGGGCCAAUCUCUUGCUAUCUACUGGCUUUUGGCCAAAGGGUGGAUAAGACUAUAAUUGCUUGCUAGUGGCAAAUUAGUAUAAAUUUUAUGUCUAUUUUGUUAUGUAAAAAGAGAUAUUUGCAGACUGGAUUGGGCAAGGUUCAGACCUCAAUGUGAGACUAGACUUAAAUUUGCAUUCUGAUUGGGCAAGACCUCCAGGGUUUUUAAAUUCUAUGUUGAUCAAAAUGGGCAAGAUCUCUAGGAUUUUUAAACUGACGGGAGAAGCUAAGAAGAAGGAGAGAAGAGACUCUACAGUGGGAGAACCACUUUGGGAAGAGCAGGAUAAGCCCCUUUAUCAUUUCGGUUUCCCUCUUCUGCUGCACCUUCUUCAGUUCGACAGUAUCGCUUUUUUGGUAAUCCGGCGACCGGAACGAUACACUUUACUUCUGAGGAACAGCAACAACUGGAAACAAGGUCAGCUUCAUGUUGUUGUUGUUGUUGUUGCUAUAGCCCAGUAAGCUUCCAGACCACCUUGGGUUUAUUCUCUCUUUUUGACAGUUAAAGCACCACAUUUUCAUUGAUGCCAGGAGAUGUCGAACAGUAGGGCACACAUCCUGGGGUGCCUCUGUUAUGGCACAAGAGAUAUUCCCAGACUGAUUGGGUAAGGUUCGGACCACAAUGUGUGUCUGGACAUUUAAAUUUGCAUUCUGAUUGGGCAAGACCUCAAGGGUUUUUAAAUUCUGUCUUGAUCGAAUUGGGCAAGAUCUCUAGGAUUUUUAAAUUGUAUAUGGAAUUGGGCAAGAUCAAGGCCUGUGUGGGCCUCGAUUUCUAAAUUGCAUCCCCCAGCUUGACCUUUACAAUUGUAUUCUGAUUGGGCAAGACCUCUAGGGUUUUUAAAUUCUGUAUGGAAUUGGGCAAGAUCAGGGCCUGUGUGGGCCUCGGUUUUUAAAUUGCAUCCCCCAGCUUGACCUUUACAAUUGUAUUCUGAUUGGGCAAGACCUCUAGGGUUUUUAAAUUCUGUAUGGAAUUGGGCAAGAUCAGGGCCUGUGUGGGCCUCGAUUUUUAAAUUGCAUCCCCCAUCUUGACUGAGCACACAAUCUCUAGGUUCCCUUAGAGUGAAUUGGGCAUGAUACCAUUUUUUUAAAAUUCCAUGUUUGGGCAGCUUUAAGCCAGUGGACUGGAGUCCCAUGAGCUUGGAAUCUCCAAUGGCUCAACUGGGCAAGACAAUUGGUGUCUUUAAAUUCUGUCAGGGCCUUGUGGACAUAUUUUUCAGCCAAGGGUGUAGUGUUAAAUUUGGAUCAACUGACCACCCACUUUUAUUCAUGCUCAUGAUAAAGUCUGAAUCAAAUGGAUCACGUUGCGUGUUUUAUAUGUGCUGUGUCCCAAGUCUUGAGUGACCCAUGAAGAGAUGAGUUCUUCUUUAGUGCGCUCAUGGCCAUCUCAGAUCCUUAUUCCUUACUCAAGGAAAGCAUUGAUUUUGAAUGCUGGGCUCAAGCUUUUGAUGCUUUUCUGUCUAUUGAUAAAAUGGAAGGAAUCAUUUCACAUGCCAAUGUUUAAAUUGGUUGUGUCAUGCAAGGGUUUUGAGAACUGUCUGGACUAAAGAAAUAGUUUGAUUGCCUUGUCAGCAAGAGAGGUGCCUGCAGCCUAGGCGGCAACCAUGCUAUCUUGCACAGACACAAAAAGCCUUUUGGAAGGUUGUGUCUUUGUUGAAGAUGAUGUUUAGCAUUUUAGCAUUCAAGACUCUUCAGACACGGAUUGCGAGAACGCCUGGCGUGAGAAAUUGACACCCGAGUGAAUGGAGGCGAAUGCACCUGCUUAAGUUGAGGAAGUAAGAUCACCAAAGGCGGCAGGAGUCCAGUGGUGAGGAUGGGGUGAGUAACUGGGCCUGACUGGUUGGAUGAUGCCCCAUCUGUACUGGGCCUUUUCCAAACCAGAUGCUUAUUUUUUCCCCCUUUAAGUUCGGCACUGACAUUUUUAUUGAGUUAGUGAAGGGGUGUUGCGACAGCUACCUGGGGAACUCUGGAAAUGGGCCCAUAAUUAUGUAAGGAUAACCAGAAACUGUAUAUUUAUUAAAAUUGACUUGGACCUUUCUUUUUAAAAAUAUAUAUAUUUUAAAGUAACCUGGAAAUUGUACUGUCAGAGUGAAUGCAGAAGAAAAGUGACGUAACAUCAGAGAAUCGCUUUGGAAGUGAUGUGAAACUGUGGUAAUCUUCUGCCUUCUUUUUCAAAUGGUAAGUGAAAUAAAGGCAAAAAGUAAGAAAUAUCUUACAUAAAAAUGCAUGGGUGAGCAGGCAUUUGGGCAAAUGGAACCAUCCCCCCACCAGCCCCCCAGCCCCAAUCAGUGACAAAAUGUGGAGCCCCACCACCACAUGGAGCUCUAAAAUGGGUCGGGAAAUCCCGGAUGGUGUUCGGGAACUCUGACCCAAUGUAGGCUUCCCAACAUCGGGAUUGGCUGAUCCCCGACAUCCUCCAACAUGGCCCAUCUCAGGCCAUGACCAACACAACUGAUGCAGACUUGAACAGCUGUAUAUUAAGCACCUUCUCUCUUUCUGUUCCGAUUCUGUCCCCAAACUGAGCUGAACAGACCCAAGCCCAGAGAUGGAAGGGGAGCUGAAAAGGCUGGAGAACAGCAGAGACGCUCUCAAGGCUGGCUUCUAUGAAUCCUUCGGUGGACUGCAUCCUCCUCAUGACUCUGAUGACAGUAGCAAUGGACCGAGAGAGAACCUACAUUACGUGUUCAGGACUACAGAAAUCACCCUCCCCUUGGCCUCGUGCAAAGGGGAGGGAGUUUGUCCCAGCCCCGCCCUGCACGAGGCCCAAGAAGCGGGCCGAUUGGCCCUUUGUGUUAGGGGGUGGGGUUUCGGCCGGGAUGAUCCCCGCCCUGUUCUCCUCAGUUUGGGCCAGGCAUUCCCCUCCCUCCCUCCCUGGUACAGAUCGGGUCUAGCGACUGGUUGCCCAACGGGGCCGAGUAGGAAUUUUUGGCUCCCAACGCAUUGGCCACUGUUGGGGUUUUUUUUGCCUACUCCGUUCUGUGUUCCAGGUGUGUAGUUAGAGUUAGGCCGGUCACAAUGGCAGUAACAGUGCGGGCGGGGUGGUAAUUCGAGGGUUUCCCGAGCCAGGGUGUGUCGCCCAGUAAGGUGCUGGGUAGGACGUCAGAGUUCUAACCUGGUCCUCUUGGCCCGCACUGUUCUCUAAGGGUGAUUAAUCACCUGGUGUUCCAGUCCGCCAUGUCUUUUGUUACAGUUAAUAAAGUUGUGGCCCUUUUACCCAUACUAAGUCUACGUGUCUUCUUGGGCUGGGGGCUGGGGAAAAGGAUUCCACUUUUGUGUGCUGAUCAGGCGCACACUGCCUUGAUUCUUCCACUCAGAACAAAACUCAUUCCGCGCACAGAUGAAAAAGAUCUGAGGGAACAUUCAGAGGCACUCUUACCCCUGGAUUUCUGGGUGAACUCCAAGGCCUCCACACAUCCUGGGGGCCCCAACAUCCUUUUUAGUCUAUCCUGGCCCAUUGUUUUCCAGGCGACCGAGCAUGACUGUUGCCUGCACCGGAGUUGACUUCUGCUUUAAAGACAAUGGGGGGAGUGGGGAAAGAAAUAUGGAUGAUGGAAAUAUGUUACGCUGCGUGUUGAAAUGUUCCUGCUAACGCAUAUUUCCAUAAAUAUAACUGUUUUUUUAUUCAUA